ensembl:misc_RNA
GACCUGUUUGCCUGGACCCAUCAACAGCUGGGAGACUAAUCAACCACACUGAAAAUGU